GAUGGACGCUGGCGGCGUGCCUAAUACAUGCAAGUCGAGCGAACAGACGAGGAGCUUGCUCCUCUGACGUUAGCUGCGGACGGGUGAGUAACACGUGGAUAACCUACCUAUAAGACUGGGAUAACUUCGGGAAACCGGAGCUAAUACCGGAUAAUAUAUUGAACCGCAUGGUUCAAUAGUGAAAGACGGUUUUGCUGUCACUUAUAGAUGGAUCCGCGCCGCAUUAGCUAGUUGGUAAGGUAACGGCUUACCAAGGCGACGAUGCGUAGCCGACCUGAGAGGGUGAUCGGCAACACUGGAAAUGAGACACGGUCCAGACUCCUACGGGAGGCAGCAGUAGGGAAUCUUCCGCAAUGGGCGAAAGCCUGACGGAGCAAAGCCGCGUGAGUGAUGAAGGUCUUCGGAUCGUAAAACUCUGUUAUUAGGGAAGAACAAAUGUGUAAGUAACUAUGCACGUCUUGACGGUACCUAAUCAGAAAGCCACGGCUAACUACGUG
rnacentral:rRNA from 1 species